UUUUAGAUCCUGUUUCCUUAAAUUCCCGAGAAUAUUUCAGCAUUCAUCUGUGGUUGAGGUGCCGCUUAGCAUUGGUGACUGCAUUUGUCGCACAGAUUCGUGGCAUUGGAAUCGUGAAAGAGAACGAUAUGACAGAUUGUUUGAGCCUCAUCGACGAAGUGUGUAUGGAAGCAAAAAAUGCAGACAACAUGGAGCUACAUGCUGAAUUCUUGAUGCAAGCUGUAAUCCUUGGCUUGCAAGAAAAGCAUUUAAAGGCAGACAUCAUAAGAAAUCUUCAGGAUAUAAUACAUUUGCUUGAAGGAAAUGAAUUU